rnacentral:lncRNA from 1 species
UGCUAUUGAAUUGGUAGUUAUAUGCACUUCUCUUUAUUAACAUAAGCAUAUCCACAAUGAGAAUCAUGCACUUCUCUUUAUUAACAUAAGCAUAUAUCAGACAGUCCUUGAGUUCUAAGAAAAUCCAUUAUUAACAUAAUUUAUCGGAUACAUUACAUGCCAAUAGAGACGGAGAGCAAACAAUACCACAUAUUUAAGUUAAGGAAAUUGAAGGAUCACGAAAAGAGUGAAAAACUGUCAUCUAUGGUCUAUGGAUAUGCCUGUGGAAGAGAAGAAGAGUACCUGAGUUGUCUAAGAACAUCAGCAGUACCUAAGAACAUCAGCAGGUACUCUAAGAACAACUGAAGUGAAAACUGUUGGAAUGAAACAAGUUGAUAUGAGUUAAUUCAGUGCACCUGGAAACUUCAACUUACUGAUCACAUGGGGAAUAGAACAAGUUGAAUUUGAUUCAAACACUUGAUGAUAAAGGAAAACAAGUUGAGUUGAAAAAGGAGUCCUACGUAAAGAAGGAGUUUCGCUUCUGAGCAUAUCCUGAAGAGUCCUAUGUGUAGAAGGAGAAAGAUUCUACAGAUUGAAGAUGUCAAUGCAAGAUAGGAAACAUAUAAAUUGAAGGACUCUUUGUUAGAUCAAUGAAGUUUUUGAUGACUGGCACGUGAAUGGAACAUGUUGCUUGACCUGGUCCAAGCAUAAGAAGGCAGGUUUCAGGUUUUACUGAUAGAUGCAGACAAAGAUUGCUGAAAGUCAGGAACGAAUGAGCAAGCCUAAUUCUGAUAAACUCAAGCUACUGAUCACGUGAGAAAUUGAAAAAUUUGUGGUUGAGUAAAAUACUUGAAGAUAAGUUGAUUUAAAGAGUUGAAGUUUGACUACAACACUAAGGAGACAAGAGUUGGAAUUGAAGAAGGAGUCUCACUUGAAGUAGAACUCUAUGUAAUGAAAGUUUUGAUUAAAGGAGGAGUUUAAAAUAAAGAAUGACUCUUUGGAGAGCUGUGCUUAAAUAGAAGAUGCAUCAUUCAAAGUAAUUUAUGCACUUACAAAGCAGAAAAGCACAAUCGACAGAUUGACUUCAUGAAGUGCUAUUCAAUCACUGAAGAAACACAUUGAAGAACCAGGUCGUAAGUAUAUAAUCCAACUAAGAGUUUUAGCUUUGAUUUUUAGAGUUGUUCAUUGUGUUUGAGCUAUUUAUGUAAUACUAGUUUCAAUGUGGUAUAAACUAAAUUAAGAGAUAGUCUUCGAGUUGGGGAAAACUCAGAGACUUUGAGAACGCAUACCUUGGGAGGUGUGUGUAGUUAGGAAUCAGAGUUUAUGAUUCCUAUUUGUUAGUUACAAGAGUUUUGUAAUCAGUCGUUGUUGAGACUCAGAGUUAUUUAGUGAAGUUGGGGUUAAAUUCUGUACAGGUCCAGUUCUGGUUUUUUACAUCUUUUGAGCCGGG